GAGAGAGAGAGAGAGAGAGAGAGCGGGAGGGAGAACACAGACGCGGGGCGGGACGAGUCUUGAGGGUUUUUCUCUGUCUGUGCUCCCCUCGGUGGGCUCGAACCACGGCUGCUGCUACUGCUGCUCCCUGCCGGCCGACAAGUAAACAAAUGGCGGCUGGUGGAGGUGGUGCGGUGCGUGGUGUGGAGCUGCGGGGUGGACAGGCCCGGCCUGGUCUGGGGCGGUCAGCCCACCUUCUCGCAGGGCUGUGAAGCGGGAUGGGAGUGAUGGUGGUCGUCGGGGCCCGGAGGGGGGCGUUGCCAUGAGGGGCUGACAGCUGGCGCGGUCUUUUAUGAGGAGGCCCCGGGAGGUGCUUUCCUUGGGGCAGUGGCGCUGCUGCUUUUGGCCUCCCCCGCCCCCCCCCCGUUGUGUUUAAGACGGGUCUCAAGGGAGGGUAGGGGUCGGUGCGAGGGAAGGGGAAGAUACGCCUGUGGCGCUGGCUCCUUCCCUUCUCUUCGCGGCCCACCCCUCCUCUUCUCUCUUUCCCCUUUGGUGUAGAUGGAAACAAUGGACAGAGGGGAAUGGACCGCCUCCUCCUUGAGCCGAUUACUUAGCAUGGCUACGGCAGUAAUAUGCGGAGCUGCUCAACCACACACACACACAACCCCCCCCCCCCUCCGCGCCCAGCUCCCAGUGGUCAAAAAAGCCCUAUUGUGAGUUGGGGUGUGUUGGUGCGACUGCUGCAAGGCAUCGCGCUCCCUGCCCUCCCGUCCCCCAAGGGAAGGUGUUAAACAAAUUAGUAGGCUACAGAUAAGCGUGUUAGAUUCACCGAAGGGGAUUUCCCUGGGUUCCUAUAUGGGCGUGUGUUAAAAAUAAAUGGUUAAAUGCAAGGGCAGUUCUGCCCUAGAUGACUUGGCUCCAUUGAGGGUUGUCCUGUGGUUAAGCCUGAGCCUUAAAAGGAGACGGCAUCGUUCCCUAUGUUAAACAUGUGGGAGGGAAGGAGUAUGGCUCUGCCUGUCACUUGUUAUAAAGAGGAAUAGAACACAAUGGAAAGCGGUAUUGAUUCUUGGAAUAGCUUCUUGUAACAUCUUUGCCUACAUAUCUAAUAUGGAAGAGUUUCUAAUAAUCAAUCACCUAAUUGAAAAUGAAUGGAUGGGUACAAUGUUUUGUAAACGUUUGUAAGCUGAAAGCAGAAUGCAGUAAAAGCUACAGUUUGGGAAAGGAGACAUUGUAGUAAUUGUAAAAUAAGAGAACCUUGUCAGAUUUUUUAAAAAGACAUGAAACAGUGACCAUAGGGACUAUUGUUCAGAGAGGAAUAUGAAUACUACAGUACUUUAGUUCUCUGAAUUUCCCUAUCACAUUUUGUUGGCAUCUACUGUAACAGUACAGUUUGUAGUUUUUGUGCUACGUAGUAAAAAAAAAAAAGUGAAAGAAUAUAGCUGGGACUUGAGUUAUGCUGAAGUAUAUGGCUUAAGCCUGAAUUUAAAAAGAGGGGUGGGGGAUAAUCCUGUUCAAUAAAACAUUAUCAACUAUGAAAUUCUUUAAGUGACAUGGUUUGUAUAUGUAUAUGUAUCUGAUAAUGCUUAUUUUAUCUGAAAUGAGUUGUUACAAUUAGGAGCAGCUCUUUGAAAAUAAGUCUUGGAGUCAUUCAGUAUUUGAGGUUCGGCACUGAAAUUCUGUACAGUAUUCACAAACUUUAACAUUUUCCUUAAGCUUCUCCCUGCAUUCUUUAUCUUAGGUGCAAUCAAGGGGUGGCAGAUGUGGUGACUGGGUGGAUAACGUAAUAUGUAUGUACUUAAGCAAGCUUUGAGGCGGCUUCCUAUUUUUACAUACUAUGUUAAUGUCUCUUAAAUAUGUCCUGCAGUACUUCCAGAGUUUUCAGAAAUUACAUAGCUUUGGAAACCAUAUGGAGAAACUAUUGCCCAGCUGUAGUACAUUAAGCCAUUUGAACUGUGAAGUUGUUUCUGAAAACACUUCAAUCCCAACCACAUUUUUUGAGAUUAAGCUCAUUUGAUUUUAAAGGAAUUUACUAUAUUAAAUAGCAAUUAAUGGGCAGUAACACCUUGGGGGUGGGGGUUCUCUCCACAUUAUGUCAUACAUCAGAUUAUAUUCCCAAUCUAGAAACUAUAACACACAGCUGCAGUCUACAGACAUGUUGCUCUAUGCCACAAGCUUUGUGUUAAGCAGAGUUUGGGUGUUGACAGCUCUUGCUGAGAAAGAGAAGGCUAUUCGUCUGGAAUCUGUUUCCAUCAGACCUAAACACAUUGACCAUAUGUUCAAAGCUGCAUGUGUUUCUCCAAUCCAGCAAGUAGCAGCAAACUUUACAGCUAUUGAAACUGGAUGCAGAUUUUUCUCUGUGCAUCAUCUUUUCUCUGUGCAUCAUUUGUGCCCUAGGCCCCAAUUUAGAACACUUUAUGUAGGUGCAGAUGUUAGAACAGGGCAUAUUGGCAAAACAAGCCAGCAUAUCUAGUAAACCAGUAUGUUGCUUUUAAAUUAAAUCCAAAGUUUGAAAGUAUCCAUUGGGGUACAGAUAUUUAAAAUAAAAAAAUAGGUACAAAACACACUCGGUGUCCAGAACCAUGAUGAAGGAAUGUAGGCAGUAUUUGCAUAAUUGUGAAAUAUUGAAAACACAUUGCCAGGUGUUUUAGCUACUAGCAUUUUGAGAGAACUUAACUACUUUUAUAAUAUUUUAAUCUAAAUUUCAUCUUAAUUUCUAUCAAGUGAAAACUGACAGUACUAUUAGCAUAAGCGGUAAAUGUAUGGAACAGCAUGGAAUAUAUAGAUAUACCUGAAGGAGUGUUUCCACCCCCAUUGUUCUUCCCAGACCCUCAGGUCCAGUGCCGAGGGCCUUCUGGCAGUUCCUUCACUGUGAGAAGCGAAGUUACAGGGAACCAGACAGAGGGCCUUCUCGGUAGUGGCGCCCGCCCUGUGGAAAACCCUCUCGUCAGAUGUCAAAGAAAUAAACAACUCUCUGACUUUUAGAAGAUAUCUGAAGGCAGCCCUGUUUAGGGAAGCUUUAAUAUUUGAUGAAUUAUUGUAUUUUAAUGUGUUGAAAGCCGCCUAGAGUGGCUGGGGAAACAGCCAGAUGGGCAGGGUAUAAAUAAAUUAUUAUUAUUAUUAUUAUUAAGCUUAAAAAUAAGGCAUUAGUAAAUGGGUGGCUAUACACCACAAGAUGCAUGAAAUAGCCUUUACUACAGGGUGGGGAACAUUUUGAGGGACUGAGAGCUUCAGUGGGUGUUUGGAGAUUUGUUGCAGUUGCAAGAGCACAGCCAAAACCAAAAGGAGGUAGGAUCUGAACAUUCAGUUAAAUAAAUUGUUUCAGAAACCACUAUCCUUGAAUAUUAUAACUAAGAUUAGAACAUUAAUGUUAAGGCAGGCAUAAGUUUGAUAGUGUUCCCUGGCAUCCUUUUUUUGAUAUUUGCUUCCUUUCAUUUGUAACUAUAUCUACACCUCUUCCUUAAUAGUUUUAUUAAUGCCAUUUGCCACUUCCCUUUGUUUGUAUUUUUACUCCUUUUAUUUGGCAUGUCACACUUCCAUGUUUGUGGCCAUUCAUUCCCUCCCCACAUUUUUAAAUUACUUUUGUUUUCUUGAGCUGUUUUCUUUCAUUGUGAGGUGGGAAGGGGUUUAUUUCCCCCCUCUCCUUUGCAAUACAGACAUGCCACUAUCUGAUGCUCUUAAUUCAAGAGCAGCAGCAGGUGACCAUAAAGUAUACAAGACAGACUUCACAGUAGACUUUCAACCAGAUGUGCUUAUGGUCAGAAGGAAAGACAAUAGCAAGGGGCUAUUGGACCAGCACUGAGUUCGGUGCUGCAGUGCAGAAGAUAAAAAUAAAGAAAUAAAGUUAUGCGUGACAGGAUAGGCAAAAAUAAGGUUAUAAUGCACUGGUGGGGUAAAUUAAGCAGUGGAAGUAGAGGGCAAGCAGUUGAGUGCAGAUGUAUCCUGGGUUUUAUUUUGUACAUUUAUUUGAUGGUCCAGGCUCAAUCUUGCAAACUCUGGAUACCGAUUCUGAAAUUAAGUACACUUUCUGGAGGCAAGAUAGAGGGUUUGUCGUAUCAGCUGUACCAAGUGUCUUAAGG